CAGUGCGGGCCCUCCUCUCUGAGGUGGAGGGGGGCUGUCAGUGCUGCUUUAGACACAAACCCUUCCUCUCCCCACCCACCCACCUUCUCCCCCUCUCUCCCACCGCCGCGCUGCAGAGAGCCAGACCUGGGGACGCGGCGCGCACAGCAGCCAGCAGCUGGAGGAGGAGGGUCGCUCUGCUGUCAUCUGGCUUGGGUGAAGGGGGAGGCAGGGGGACUCUCGGUUUGUGCUUGGAUUAAAACACAACCCCAGACAAAGAAGGCAGAGGAGAGGAGUUGGGCGGGGGGAGGCAUAUGCCAGGGAGAGGCGUCGCUCUCAAUCGUGCCUCUGUUCCCAAGGAUUAAGGAAUGAAUGGGAGCCGCUUCCCAGCUCGCCAUGGAGAGAGGAGGCAAUUCAGGCUGCCAGGAUAAGAGUCCAGUGGGCAAUAUGGCAGUGCCACGUCCUGGUGGCCAUGAGGAGCCUUGUUUAAAUCCAAUGCUCACACCAUUUCCAACUGUCCCAGAUGAAUUCAUAUAAUGUCCUUCUCUCAGACUUCACAAGGCUUCCUUCCUGAUGGGUUCCUGAAGCUCCCACCAGUGGCUCAGGCUACGCCCCGUGAAAGCACUCCCUGCGUGGCCUCCAGUCCGUGCAGCCGUUGCGUCUCCGAACCUGCUUCUGCAAUGGGUAAUGAGGAGCUGUGGGUCCAGUCAGUCUUGGAGAUGCCGAAGAGAAGAGACAUCCUGGCUAUCGUGCUGAUAGUUCUGCCCUGGACGCUGUUAAUCACCGUCUGGCACCAGAGCACCAUUGCUCCGCUGCUUGCAGUGCACAAGGAUGAGGGUGGCGACUCCAGGCGUGAUCUGGCCCAAGGCUCGGACUCCAAGGAGUACUGCCUGUCAGACCGCGACAUUGUGGAGGUGGUGAGGACAGAGUACGUUUACACCCGCCCGCCCCCAUGGUCGGACACCCUCCCUACCAUCCACAUCAUCACCCCCACCUACAGUCGGCCGGUGCAAAAGGCGGAACUGACGCGUCUGGCCAACACCCUCUUGCAUGUGCCCAACCUGCACUGGAUCCUGGUGGAGGACUCUCAGAGGCGCACCCCCCUCGUCACCCGGCUGCUGCGGGACACAGGGCUGAACUACACCCACCUCAAUGUGGAGACGCCCCGCAACUACAAGCUGCGGGGAGACAUGAGGGACCCCAGGAUCCCCCGCGGGACCAUGCAGAGGAACCUGGCCCUGCGGUGGCUGAGAGAGACCUUUAACAAAAACAGCAGCCAACCUGGGAUUGUUUACUUCGCUGACGACGAUAACACCUACAGCCUGGAGCUCUUCGAGGAGAUGCGCACCACCAGGAAGGUGUCGGUGUGGCCGGUGGCCUUUGUGGGUGGCUUGCGCUACGAGUCACCCAAAGUGAAUGCAGCGGGGAAGGUGUAUGGCUGGAAGACUGUUUUCGACCCCCACCGCCCGUUUGCCAUCGACAUGGCGGGCUUUGCUGUGAACCUCAGGCUGAUACUCCAGCGAUCUCAGGCUUACUUCAAACUGCGAGGAGUGAAGGGUGGCUACCAAGAGAGCAGCCUUCUCCGGGAAUUAGUGACCUUGAAUGACCUUGAGCCGAAAGCUGCCAAUUGCACUAAGGUAUGGACUCUUUCUGGUACAUGGACCCACUCUUCUGCAUCUAUCACUAAUCACAAUUGCAAGGAAAUGCAGAAACUUGAAAAGGGAGCAUAGGAACUGCCAUAUAGGAUUAGAUCUGUUGUCUAACCAGGCCAGUAUCCCAUCUCCCAUCCCUCAGGGUUAGCCCAAUGCCCAUCCAGUCCAAUAUCCUGUCUCAUGCAGUUGCUGGUACCAGAUGCUUCAAGGAAAGACACAACCUGCUCUCCCCCCACCCCCCCCAUAAAUGGGUUAUGAAGUAAAAUACAUAGUGGGGAAGUUUCAUCUUAAGCUCAGGGCCUUAGUGGCUCGCUUCUGCCCUGAGUGUGAGGGUUUAUCCCCUUUAUAAAUGUCUCUGCUAGUUAUGGUUACUCUACAUGACAUCCUUACUGUUUACAUGAAUAUCUAAUUUUUUUUGGUCUCAUUGUCCUGUGACAGUGAGUUCUACAGAUGAAUUAUGCAUUGUGUGGAAGAGCAUUUCCUAUAUGAAAUGUGCUGCCUUGCAGUUUCAUUUUCAUGUAUAGUAGAGAACACCAAAGUGAAUUUGCAGCUAUGCUCCCGCUUCUCAAAAGAUGUUGCAGGAAAGCAUUGGUUUUAGACAGGUGAGGAGGAAAAGAAUAAUGUCCUGCAUUAUGCUGGGAAGCAAACAGGCAUCCAUGUGGGGUGUGGUGGCACAGAUGGGAUCCAGGGCAGAGCUAAAGAGGCAUGAAGCAGAGUUGACUGGGACGUUUGCAUCAGACAGUCCAUCUGCUCUGCUCACCCUCUGUGCUGCUCUGCCUAACAAGAACAUGACAGUGACAAUGUGUCCUAAGAGCGGAGGGAGGUCAGAAGUGAGAUCUAAUGCUAGGGUGAAUGGGGGGAGAAGGCAUGUUGUGUAGAACGCACUCCAGAUUGAUUCCCUCUUAGAACGGUAAACGGACAGGGUGUAGCAGGCAAGGGAAUCCAAUGUCAGGCCAAAGCUUCCUUGCAAAUGCUUCGAGCCUGAAGCUGGCGCAGCAAUGGCUAUGCUGCCUCUAGAAAUACACACAGAAGAGCAGCUUUUGAUGUGACGGUAGCUGUCAGAGUAAGGCAUCGUGCUGGAAAGCUGGGGCGAGAGCAAGGCCAGCUGCGGUGGGACACGCUGUCAGGACUUUGUUUCCAGACAAGGGGGAGAUCGUGUUCCUUGAGUCAGACAGGAGACAACUUCUGUGCUAUGGGCCAGGAACUGAAGAGGUUACAGCAGCUGAGAUUAGGAGCGGGCUGUUUUCUCUGUGACAAGGCAGUGGAGAUAUCACAGGGACUCGGUUUUGAGCCGGACGCACUGUGAUCCUGACCAACUCUCGGCACUUCGGGUGUCCUGCUUUGUGUCUCUGCUUCCAGCUGCCACCAGCCUCCCUUCAGCAAUUAUCACAUAACUCAUCGGCCCAGCGUGAGGUAGACAGAGACCAAAUUCAGCAGAGGCAGAGCUCAGAGAAUUCUACACAACAAGCGAGGGCACGACAGCAGAGAUGCCUCCCCUUCUAAACACAGGAGCUGAGCAGUCUGUAUGCCUGGAGAGUGAUGAUAGCAGGGUUUAGGGUAGCUAAGAAGGGGCAAUGCAUGCUUGGAAACUUGACCUUGUUAAUGGGAACGGCUCUGCGGUGACCUCUUGCGGGGGUGGAAGGAGAGUAAUUUAAGCUGUGCUGAGACCCUCAGCAUCACCACUGGUGGGUGUAGGCUUGUUCAGAAUCCAGCCCUGAGAGGAAUGAUGGUUCAGGGGUUAGGGCACCAGCCUGUGAUCCCAGAGAUCUGGGCUCCAUUGCCUGCUCUGCCACAGACUUCCUGUCUGACCUUGGAAAGUGAAGGGGAUAAAAUGAGUGGCAGUUGGGCACCUAAAGGCCUUUGAGGAUUGUGGCCUUAGCGUGUGUGCCUCAGUUUCCCAUCUGUAAAAUGGUACUUUUCUCAGCUUCACAGAGGUGUUGAGGAUUAAUACACUAAGGAUUGUGAAUCUCUCCGAUAUGAUGGUUAAUGAGGGCUAGACAGGCACACAGGUAGACAGCCCUUUACCUGAUGCCUCCUUAGAUGUCCCCUGUGUGCUGCGCUGGUAUUCAUUUUUAACGCUCUCAACUCAAACACACAAACUGAAGCGCCUGCAAAAAGCUUAUUUACUGGCCAAUAAAUAAGUCCUGUGUUGCUCUCCUUGGCUUAAUACCUGCCUGAAAGAGUGGGAACGAAAAGAUGAUGAUCUUAAGUGUGGGCACUGCAGGAAUUUCUAGACAAAAGGAGGAAGCCAGCCCUGAAAUCCCUGCCAGGAGCUGCAAAUACGGAGAGGAAAAAAUGAAAAGAGAGCUUUCUCCAUGGAGAUGGGGGGAGAUGUGCUUCUCUGGGAGAGGCAGACCUUUGUUUUGAAUGGUUUGGGUAGCAAUUUAUCAGUCACAUUUAAUUAAACGCCCACGUUCUGCCCCUUCUCCUGUCUCUCAGCUGCAUUAUGCACCGGGCUCCAACCUCAGGCUAAAUCUGUGUGUUUGAGACUGUGUUUGGGUGAUGCGGGUGAAGGAAGCCAGCCAGCCAGCUGCCUAGUGUUGGACAGGGAUGUUUUGCUGCUGCUGCUUCUGAGAGGAUUAGAGAGAGGCCGAGUAUUUCUGGACAGAGAGAGCUAGUAUUAGAUGCCACAGUAAGUGUGACCAGCUACCACCAAGGCUACAGGCUAGGAAGGAUGGGGUUGAUGGGCAAGAGCGGAGCUUCCUCACCAGCAUCUAUGGAAGAACAACACUGCAGCUGUUGCAGGAUUUGUGCUGGCUCUUUGAAGAGAAAUAAAUCCCUUCCCUACGUAAGAUGGAGAAUCUGGGUGAACCCUGGUUCUCGCCAUGUAUUUUCCAAGAUGCAGAAAGGAACUGGCUCUUUUUUUUUUUUUUUUUGGUCACAGAUCUGAUGUAGCUCAAACUGGCCCUAGGACAGAGCGACUCCAGCAGGAUUCCACUGAUGAAAGCAGGAGGCGAGAGGGGCUCCUGGGGAAUAACUUCCUUCCUUCCUUGUCAGAUUUCCUGUGAUAAAGUGUGUGCACUGAAUGCAGUGCAGAUGGAGGGGGAGAUCAGAUCGGCAAACUCCAUUUGUAUUUAUUCUCUCUCUCUCUGUGAGCUGAGCAAGUAUCUGCUAGGACAGGUUUACUCUCCCUUUCUGCUUGAGUUAUUCCCCAGUGUUUGGGACGCCAGUCUUACAGGGCUGCACUUGUUUGGAUUGAUUGCAGAUGUUCCUAGGGCAGGGGCUGUUCGAUACUCUAGCUGCCAUUGGUCACACGCUCUUGCUUCUGGUGCCAGACUGGCUAAGCCUGACUUAAUAAUCAGGAGGAAAAGGCCUGAGGAAGCCCCUGAGGCUGUGACUCUAAGGCAGUGGUUGCAGAUAAGCAGAAUUUAGGCUUUGUAUGGGGGACAUGUUCAGAUUUCAGCCAUCAGCACCAGUGCAGUCUCCGAGUUUACAUAGGGUUAAACUGCUGUCACCUGCACCAGGGCAGCUUAUCCCAGUUAUGAGCAGGGCAAAACUCUGGUGCAACUAGUGCCUUUGCUUAACUGCACUAGGGGGUUUGUGCUGGUGCAGUUACACCAGUGGCUGGGCCGGUAUUAACGCCCUAGCAUAGACAAAGCCUUAUUUUAACCCUUUUUCUUUUCUGGGCCACACAUGCUUUGUUUGAAGCUUCAACCCUUGGUCCCAUUAGGGCUUCUCUGAGCCUUACUGGAUGGAAAAGGGCAUAAAUCUUGAUGGCAAAGUAACUAUGGUCAUAGCUACUGUCUGAGCUUUGCCUGGUUUAUUUGCCUCUGGUCAGGGUUUAGAGAAUCCCCCUGCUAUGUCAAGCAACAUCCCAUCCACUAAAUUAUCCCCCUUUCAAUGCAGCUAGGUCCUCUGAUUCUUUAACUCAGUUACUGCCUUGGUUUAAAUACUGCAGCCAUGUGUAACAGGAGAUAUAGCUGCAAGUUAUCAUGAGUGAAUCCCAUGAGAGAUAUUAAAGGGGGGACACCUGUGAUUUGUAAAGCACUGUUCAAAGCGCUCAUUGUGCCAAGGGCUGUUACAGACAAGUCUUUUUGCUGUUGCUGCGAGCACGGUAAUAAUACAAAUGUGAAAAUAAGUUUUGAGACAUGAGGGCAGACUUUAAAAGGCCUGUAGAACUACUGUAUUAAUAACACAGGUUGUAUUUUUAUGUAUGAUCCAAACCUUGUAUAUAGCAAUGGAAAUGCAUUGUCCUCAAAGUUACAGACAGUUGGCUGAGAAAUGAAAAGCUGUUUCUGUAUUUGAUGGUUGCUCUGUACUAGGUGAUAAUUCCAGUGACCUUACUGAAGAGCAUGGUGUAAAGACUUAAGUAAGAGUUGUACAAAGCACUGUAUAUUAUUUUUAGAAGCCCCUUGCAAUCAGAGAUAGGGAGCUCAAUUUCAGUAUUUACCUUGAUGAAAAAGUAUUAUAGAAAUGACCCCAAGCUCUGUGCUGUUGCGAUUGCAAAAAGGGGGCUGGCGUAAAAGGCAAAGUUUUACAAAAAGGUUCCAUUCUCUGGGUGGGGAAAGCAGCCCAGUCCAGGUUCUUUCCAGUUGUUGGAGGCAAACAGCUCUAUUAAUGUUGCAGAGAGAGAUUGAUCUCUGCUGCAAGUGCUGUGCCUGCUUAAACCAGAACUGAAUUUAGCCUGCAGGCUUAACUGGAAGGCUGUGAGUAACAGAGAGCUGAGUAUUUAACCACAGGCAAGAGGAACGUGCUGAGUUCAUCCUUGGGAAGCAAUACCAUGCUCUUGCAGGUCUAAGGAAAAGCAAGCCAGCACCUUUGAGUACAAAAGAUGGAUCAUGGAAGCUUGGAUUAAACAUGCAGUGUAUUGUCAUAGCAACAAGAGGGGAGCCCUUUCAAGGUAAGAAAUAUCAAUGCAAACUGGGUUAGAAAAGCGGGAAGCUGUAGCUCUGAAGGGACCCAACUGCUACCAUAAUGCAGGUGCUAGGAGCAGAGGGAUAAGUAGUAACCUUUAUUUUAGUGUGGGUACAGACUGUAAACCAGCUUCCAGCUCUUGUCUGCUUAGACAUUUUAAUAGAGUGACUAGAAAUCUUGUGUGAGACAAAUUCCCCAAAUUAAAAAUGUUUCUUGAAUACAUUUCUCAUUUGUGAAAGUUUUGAUUUAAAGAUUUUUCCUUCCCCUGCCACUUUUACAGAGGAAAGCCCCAACAACUAUCAUUUUCAUUAAUACAGUCAGAAUCUGACAAUUUUGAAAUUGUUCCCUUAACUAUAUUUUAUCCAGUUCUACAUUGUAUACCACACUGAGAUCAGUGCAGAACUGUUUCCCAGUACGGUUUAGCUGGCCACUAUGAAUUGGCUCAAAUUGGGUUAGAGGCUUUAACAGCAGCAGACUAAUAUGCUUUGUCUGGCUAGUGUAAGUAGGGCUAAACAAUAUUAAACUGGAUUAAUAGGUCUUUAAACCCCCCCCCCCCCCAAAUGCAAGUAAUGGCCCACUGCCUAAGACAGUGUAGAGAAGUGGAGGAACAGCAUUUUCUGGCUUGGUCACUGCGCAGUAGCAACACCUCAGUGUCUGUCUACACUGCAGUCACAUGGUGUGACUGCAGCUCAGGCCCUCGAGCAGCAGCAGCGUGCACUAAUGCCCCUUGAGCACUUAAGGUGGACUUGUACCUCACCCCACUGAAGCAUGACCUCUAUGAGCUGUACCUGAAUUAGCUCACUAAGAAUAGUGAGUAUGCACAGUGUGGGCUUCAACAGUGCCUACGUAGCUGGUGCUGAAGCCCAUGCUGUGGCAUACUCACUUCCAGAGCAGGCAGGUAUACCCGAGCUGUGAUUUUGAUGGCCAAAUGAACAGCGCAGAACAUGAGGGGCUGAUCGGUGUGAAAUUUAACCCAUUGGUCCCUAGUGUUUCAGCAGGGUUACUCAGUGCAUGCACCCCAAAAUGGGCAAAGCAGACAUCGGGCACUGAAGGCUGUCUCUCUCUGUGAGCCAGUGUGAGAAUCAGAAAAGAAAGGGAAGAGAUCCCUAAGCAACAGUCACCCAGUCUCUUGGGGAUGCUUUAGAAGAAUAAAUGGAUAGUAGACUCCAGCUGUUGCUGACAGAAAAGCUCCCACUAGGAAGUGAGAGCCCCUCCAGUUCUGCUUUUUCAAAGGUACAGAUGGCGGCCUGAACUGAUGACUCAAUGUUUCCUUCCUGUUAUACCUAGUAGUUACAAGGAGUGUACAGAGCAACAAGGUGCCUUUCUAUUUUCAGCCCAGCUAUCUGUUGUACAGGGAGUGGAUGAUGCUGUUGCAGUGGCUUGAUAUGCAGCCACCACGGAUAUGCCUAUGGUGCAGCAGAAGUAUAAUAAUUACUAGCUCAGAUAGACAUACAUGCAGUAGAUUUGAUUAAGUGACCAUGAUAAAAAUGGGGCAGUAGCCACAGGCUGCGGCUUCAGCGAGCUGCCCAAAUGCACACCUAGGGUCUUGAGACAGGAUUAGGCCCUGGUGCUAGCCUCUGCAUAGUGACUACACUUCUGUUUUUAGCCUGCUAGCUCAAAGUCACCACAUACACACCUACCUGAGCUGGAAAUUACAUCUCUAGCUGCAGCCUUGACACUUUGAGUUGGGGUGGGGGAGCGUUUGUCUCUGUAAACACAAACAAGAAUUUUGAUUCCAUAGUGAUGAAACAGCCCAAAAUCAGUGCAGAGGAUGAUAAGUCUUUAGUGGAGGUUGGUUGAUAAAUAGAUAGAAGGAGCAGGUUAAUGGCCUGAGACAGUAUCCUGUCAAAUGGGUAAUUUUUGCACAUGGUGCAUUUCAGAUGUCAGUGGCCACAGGCAAAUCUGCCUAAGGCUGUGAAUGCACCAUUACACUCUAGGGUAUGUGGUUAAAUAGCACUAUUGGUUUAAUGUGCAAGAAUAUUUGUUAGCAUAAUGCAGAGAUGCAGCUAAUGACUUCUGUGGGCUUGGUUCAGAUUCUAGUCUGGCACACAAGGACGGAAAAACCCGUGCUGGUGAAUGAGGGAAAGAAAGGCUUCACAGAUCCCAACGUGGAAAUCUGAUGCUGCAUGGCUGAGCGGAGAUCAAACAGAAGAUUCUCUCAUCCUGCAGGCUCCUCUCUACAG